UUUCUUGGAAAGUCUGCUGGAUGAUGUUUUUCUUCAGUAAAAUAAAUGAAGGCAAAUUCCCUGAUAACUGAGACAAAUUCAGAGAGAGGAAAGGAGAACUACUGAGCUGCUGAAUUUCUGACAGACAUACUUGCAAGGACUAUGAAGUUCUACUUUAUAGCCUCUUCAAAGAACCAGACUCCAUCUGCUGUAACUGUGACUGCAUGGGGAUCAAAACCUUUGUAUUAUAAUCCUCAUAACAUGAAGCUAUGGUAACAAACAAGCAACCAUUGAUAAAAAGCCUGAUAUGUCCUUGUUGUUGUGUGUGAACCACAAAGCAACCAUCACUCAUAAGGAUGUUUUUAUGUACAUCAGAUGUUCAUUGUUUCACUGGAAAAAUUGUGAUUUUGAAUCAUUUAAGAAAUCAUGUUUUAUAAUGUGUUUUAUAAUUAUAGUGCAAGUCAUGAUAUAACAGAUUCCUGCAAAAGAAACACGGCUCAAAAAUAGACUAUGCUUUGUUUUAAAAAAAUGGGAGAAGGUAAUGUAACAAAUACAUAACAUUUAAUCCUAAUAGUUUCAAGGAGCAGAUUA